rnacentral:rRNA from 1 species
UACAGAGGGUGCAAGCGUUAAUCGGAAUUACUGGGCGUAAAGCGCGCGUAGGUGGUUUGUUAAGUUGAAUGUGAAAUCCCCGGGCUCAACCUGGGAACUGCAUCUGUGACUGCAUAGCUAGAGUACGGGAGAGGGAUGCGGAAUUCCAGGUGUAGCGGUGAAAUGCGUAGAUAUCUGGAGGAACACCGGUGGCGAAGGCGGCAUCCUGGACCGGCAUUGACGCUGAGGCGCGAAAGCCAGGGGAGCAAACGGG